GAUGAACGCUAGCGGCAGGCUUAACACAUGCAAGUCGAGGGGUAUAGUAGCAAUACUAGAGACCGGCGCACGGGUGCGUAACGCGUAUGCAACCUACCUUUUACAGAGGGAUAGCCCAGAGAAAUUUGGAUUAAUACCUCAUAGUGUUAUUAGAUGGCAUCAUUUGAUAACUAAAGUUCCAACGGUAAAGAUGGGCAUGCGUCCUAUUAGCUAGAUGGUAAGGUAACGGCUUACCAUGGCUACGAUAGGUAGGGGUCCUGAGAGGGAGAUCCCCACACUGGUACUGAGACACGGACCAGACUCCUACGGGAGGCAGCAGUGAGGAAUAUUGGACAAUGGGCGCAAGCCUGAUCCAGCCAUGCCGCGUGCAGGAAGAAGCAUCUAUGGUGUGUAAACUGCUUUUUGUACGGGAAGAAACACUCCUACGUGUAGGAGCUUGACGGUACCGUAAGAAUAAGGAUCGGCUAACUCCGUGCCAGCAGCCGCGGUAAG
rnacentral:rRNA from 1 species